AUUGAACGCUGGCGGCAUGCCUUACACAUGCAAGUCGAACGGUAACGGGUCCUUCGGGAUGCCGACGAGUGGCGAACGGGUGAGUAAUAUAUCGGAACGUGCCCAGUAGUGGGGGAUAACUGCUCGAAAGAGCAGCUAAUACCGCAUACGACCUGAGGGUGAAAGGGGGGGAUCGCAAGACCUCUCGCUAUUGGAGCGGCCGAUAUCAGAUUAGCUAGUUGGUGGGGUAAAGGCCUACCAAGGCAACGAUCUGUAGUUGGUCUGAGAGGACGACCAGCCACACUGGGACUGAGACACGGCCCAGACUCCUACGGGAGGCAGCAGUGGGGAAUUUUGGACAAUGGGCGCAAGCCUGAUCCAGCAAUGCCGCGUGCAGGAAGAAGGCCUUCGGGUUGUAAACUGCUUUUGUCAGGGAAGAAAUCUUCUGGGCUAAUACCCCGGGAGGAUGACGGUACCUGAAGAAUAAGCACCGGCUAACUACGUGCCAGCAGCCGCGGUAAUACGUAGGGUGCGAGCGUUAAUCGGAAUUACUGGGCGUAAAGCGUGCGCAGGCGGCUUUGCAAGACAGAUGUGAAAUCCCCGGGCUCAACCUGGGAACUGCAUUUGUGACUGCAAGGCUAGAGUACGGCAGAGGGGGAUGGAAUUCCGCGCGUAGCAGUGAAAUGCGUAGAUAUGCGGAGGAACACCAAUGGCGAAGGCAAUCCCCUGGGCCUGUACUGACGCUCAUGCACGAAAGCGUGGGGAGCAAACAGGACUAGAUACCCUGGUAGUCCACGCCCUAAACGAUGUCAACUGGUUGUUGGACGGCUUGCUGUUCAGUAACGAAGCUAACGCGUGAAGUUGACCGCCUGGGGAGUACGGCCGCAUGGUUGAAACUCAAAGGAAUUGACGGGGACCCGCACAAGCGGUGGAUGAUGUGGUCUAAUUCGAUGCAACGCGAAAAACCUUACCUACCCUUGACAUGUCAAGAAUUCUGCAGAGAUGUGGAAGUGCUCGAAAGAGAACUUGAACACAGGUGCUGCAUGGCCGUCGUCAGCUCGUGUCGUGAGAUGUUGGGUUAAGUCCCGCAACGAGCGCAACCCUUGUCAUUAGUUGCUACGCAAGAGCACUCUAAUGAGACUGCCGGUGACAAACCGGAGGAAGGUGGGGAUGACGUCAGGUCCUCAUGGCCCUUAUGGGUAGGGCUACACGCGUCAUACAAUGGCCGGUACAGAGGGCUGCCAACCCGCGAGGGGGAGCCAAUCCCAGAAAACCGGUCGUAGUCCGGAUCGUAGUCUGCAACUCGACUGCGUGAAGUCGGAAUCGCUAGUAAUCGCGGAUCAGCUUGCCGCGGUGAAUACGUUCCCGGGUCU
rnacentral:rRNA from 1 species